CCGGGGGGCCGGGCAGCCGCGUCAGGGAAACCUGCCGAGGAAAGUCCGGGCUCCACGAAACAAGGGUGGCGGGUAACGCCCGCCGGGCGUCGGGCUUCGGCUCGACGUUCAGGGAAAGUGCCACAGAGAGCAGACCGCCUCGCAAGAGGUAAGGGUGAAAGGGUGCGGCAAGAGCGCACCGCGCGACCGGCAACGGAAGCGGCACGGCAAACCCCACCUGGAGCAAGGCCUAAUAGGGGCGGCGAGACGGUCUCGAAAGGGACCGGCUGGGGUGUUUCGCCCCGACCGCCCGGGUUGGCUGCUUGAGCCUUGCGGCAACGCAAGGCCUAGAGGAAUGGCUGCCGAUGCGGGGCUGGUCCGCCCAGGGGAACUUGGAGGACACCGCCCGCGUCACAGAACCCGGCUUACAGGCCCCCCGGCAAC
rnacentral:RNase_P_RNA from 1 species